rnacentral:rRNA from 1 species
GAUGAACGCUGGCGGCGUGCUUAACACAUGCAAGUCGAACGGAAAGGCCCAAGCUUGCUUGGGUAUUCGAGUGGCGAACGGGUGUGUAACACGUGGGUGAUCUGCCUUGUACUUCGGGAUAAGCCUGGGAAACUGGGUCUAAUACCGGAUAGGACCACUUCUUGGUUGUUGUUGUUGAAAGCUUUCUCGGUGUGGGAUGAGCUCGCGGCCUAUCAGCUUGUUGGUGGUGUAGUGGCCUACCAAGGCGUCGACGUGUAUCCGGCAUGAGAGAGUGGAGAGACAGAUUAGAACUGAGAGACAGGCCAGACUCGGGAAGAAGGCAGCAGUGGGGAAUAUUGGACAAAGGGAGCAAGCCUGAUGGAGGGAGGUCGUGUGGGGGAUGACGGCCUUAGGGUUGUAAACACCUUUCGCUGGGGACGAAGCGUUUUUGUGACGGUACCUGGAGAAGAAGCACCGGCUAACUACGUG